rnacentral:rRNA from 1 species
UACGUAGGGGGCAAGCGUUGUCCGGAAUUAUUGGGCGUAAAGCGCUCGCAGGCGGUUAUUUAAGUCUGGUGUUUAAACCUUGGGCUCAACCUGAGGGCGCACUGGAAACUUGGUGGCUUGAGUACAGAAGAGGAAAGUGGAAUUCCACGUGUAGCGGUGAAAUGCGUAGAUAUGUGGAGGAACACCAGUGGCGAAGGCGACUUUCUGGGCUGUAACUGACGCUGAGGCGCGAAAGCGUGGGGAGCAAACAGG